rnacentral:ncRNA from 2 species
AUAAGACGCUAGGGGAGCCUUUGGCUGAGAACGUGGGACAGGGAUAAGCUCACGGACCCUCACUACCUGAACGGGAUAAUUCCUGCGUAGGGAAGCUGGAACGUGGUUUC